GAAUAAAUUAAUAUGUCCUAGGAAUUGGAACGAAACAGAGAAGAUUAGCCCCUGCGCAAGGAUGACACGCAAAAUCGUGAAGCGUUCCACAUUUUU
rnacentral:snRNA from 1 species